AGCAGCUAUUAGUACAGUGUUUCUUCGUGUAUUUGAUUAGUAAUACCCGCACAGAACUCAAAGCAGCAUAUAUACGUUAUAAGAAUAAUCAAAUAGAAAAUAAUGAACUGCAGCAGUUCAGCGUUUAAAUUUACUGGUUGCAAUUAAUUCUUUGUUUCGCUUUACUGCAGUCUGUGACAGAGAGCUCAAGUUUCGACGACGAUCACGCAGAAAGCAGAUCCUUCUUACGGACAGAAACCAGAAUUUAAUCAAAACAGAUUUUUCUGACUCUUAUUAGUUUGAACUGUUUCUUCGUAUUACUUAAAGCAAAGCUCAAAUGCAUUGGCACAAAUAAUCUUCUCGAAUGGUUACAGCAAGUAUAGCCAUGCAGCCCAUGCUAGUUAAAGUGAUUUUUCUGUUCUGCAUCUUGUUUGGUGAUGAAUAUGAAACUGAGAUAGUUCGGGCACCGGAGCUUGACUUGGAUGCCAUGACUGCAUUAACUCCGUUUGAAGAUAUGGAACCUGCUGUAGAAGAUCAUAUGAAUUUUCGAUCGGUGUAACCCAUGAAACAACAUGUGUUUUAUUGUUCAAAUAAAUACACAUUAUAAACAUUA